CCUACGGGAGGCAGCAGUGAGGAAUAUUGGUCAAUGGGCGAGAGCCUGAACCAGCCAAGUCGCGUGAGGGAGUACUGCCCUAUGGGUUGUAAACCUCUUUUGUCGGGGAGCAAAAGCCGGACGUGUCCGGCUGUGAGAGUACCCGCAGAAAAAGCAUCGGCUAACUCCGUGCCAGCAGCCGCGGUAAUACGGAGGAUGCGAGCGUUAUCCGGAUUUAUUGGGUUUAAAGGGUGCGCGGGCGGAUUUUUAAGUCGGCGGGCAAAUCCUGGGGCUCAACCCCAUCCAGCCGUUGAAACUGGGGGUCUAGAGUGGGCGAGAGGUAGGCGGAAGUCGUGGUGUAGCGGUGAAAUGCAUAGAUAUCACGCAGAACCCCGAUUGCGAAGGCAGCAUACCGGUGCACAACUGACGCUCAGGCACGAAAGCGUGGGUAUCGAACAGGAUUAGAUACCCGAGUAGUC
rnacentral:rRNA from 1 species